rnacentral:rRNA from 1 species
GAUGAACGCUGGCGGCGUGCCUAAUACAUGCAAGUCGAGCGAACAGACGAGGAGCUUUCUCCUCUUACGUUAGCGGCGGACGGGUGAGUAAAACGUGGAUAACCUACCUAUAAGACUGGGAUAACUUCGGGAAACCGGAGCGAAUACCGCGUAUUAUAUUUAACCUCAUGGUUCAAUAUUGAAAGACGGUUUUGCUGUCACUUAUACAUUGAUCCACGCCGCAUUAGCUAGUUGGUAAGGUAACGGCUUACAAAGGCAACGAUGGGUAGCCGACCUGAUAGGGUGAUCGCCCACACUGGAACUGAGAAACGGCCAAGACUCCUACGGGAGGCAGCAGGAGGGAAUCUUCGGCAAUGGGCGAAAGCUUGACGGAGAAACGCCGCGUGGGUGAUGAAGGCCUUGGGAUCGUAAAACCCUUUUAUCAGGGAAGAACACAUGUGUAAGUAACUAUGCAAGUAUUGACGGUACCUAAACAGAAAGCCACGGCUAACUACGUG